ensembl:misc_RNA Y_RNA Y RNA
GGCUGGCCAGGCAUGGUGGUGUUUACAGCUAAUCACCAGUUAUAGAUUCCUUGGUUCCUUGCCCACUCCCACUGCUUCACUUGACUAGUCUUAG